CGGACGGGUGAGUAACGCGUGGAAAACCUGCCGUAUACUGGGGGAUAACACUUAGAAAUAGGUGCUAAUACCGCAUAAGCGCACAGCUUCGCAUGAAGCGGUGUGAAAAACUCUGGUGGUAUACGAUGGUUCCGCGUCUGAUUAGCUAGUUGGUGGGGUAAUGGCCUACCAAGGCAACGAUCAGUAGCCGGCCUGAGAGGGUGAACGGCCACAUUAGGACUGAGACACGGCCCAAACUCCUACGGGAGGCAGCAG
rnacentral:rRNA from 1 species